CAAAAUCGUGAAUUUGUAUAGCAUAAACAGUGGCGGCCUUAGGGGGCGGCGAAUAGGGCAAUCGCUCAGGGCCUCGCUCUUGCGGGGGCCUCGCACCAAGCAAAAUUAAAAAAGUAGCCUAU